CAUGUGUAAGUAUAAAUAUUUGACUUUGAAACUGCGAAUGGCUCAUUAUAUCAGUUAUAGUUUAUUUGAUGAACAAUACUACUUGGAUAACCGUAGUAAUUCUAGAGCUAAUACAUGAUCAAAUCCUCGACUUUGAAGAGGUGUAUUUAUUAGAAUGAAACCAAGAGACUUCGGUCUAUUUGUGAGUAAUAAUAACUAAUCGUAUCGCAUGCUUAGGUAGCGAUAUGUCUUUCAAGUUUCUGCCCUAUCAGCUUUGGAUGGUAGUGUAUUGGACUACCAUGGCAGUAACGGGUAACGAAGAAUUUGGGUUCGAUUUCGGAGAGGGAGCCUGAGAGAUGGCUACCACAUCCAAGGAAGGCAGCAGGCGCGUAAAUUACCCAAUCCUGACAUAGGGAGGUAGUGACAAUAAAUCACAAUGCGGAACUAUUAGUUUUGCAAUUGGAUUGAGAACAACUGUACAAAUGUUAUCGAGAAACAAUUGGAGGGCAAGUCUGGUGCGUGCAGCCGCUGUAAUUCCAGCUCCAAUAGCCUAUAUCAACGUUGUU
rnacentral:rRNA from 1 species